rnacentral:rRNA from 1 species
AACGAACGCUGGCGGCAGGCCUUACACAUGCAAGUCGAGCGCGCCCUUCGGGGUGAGCGGCGGACGGGUGAGUAACGCGUGGGAACGUGCCCUUUCUACGGAAUAGUCUCGGGAAACUGAGAGUAACACCGUAUACGCCCUUCGGGGGGAAAGAUUUAUCGGAGAGAGAUCGGCCCGCGUCUGAUUAGGUAGUUGGUGGGGUAAUGGCCCACCAAGCCGACGAUCAGUAGCUGGUUUGAGAGGAUGAUCAGCCACACUGGGACUGAGACACGGCCCAGACUCCUACGGGAGGCAGCAGUGGGGAAUCUUGGACAAUGGGGGAAACCCUGAUCCAGCCAUGCCGCGUGAGUGAUGAGGGCCCUAGGGUCGUAAAACUCUUUCGCUGGGGAAGAUAAUGACGGUACCCAGUAAAGAAACCCCGGCUAACUCCGUG